rnacentral:rRNA from 1 species
UACGUAGGGGCAAGCGUUGUCCGGAUUUAUUGGGCGUAAAGAGCGUGUAGGCGGCCAGGUAGGUCAGCUGUGAAACUCGAGGCUCAACCUCGAGCUGUCGGCUGAAACCAUCUGGCUAGAGUCCGGAAGAGGAGAAUGGAAUUCCCGGUGUAGCGGUGAAUGCGCAGAUAUCGGGAAGAACACCCGUGGCGAAGGCGGUUCUCUGGGACGGUACUGACGCUGAGACGCGAAAGCGUGGGAGCGAACAGG